GUAGGCGGUUUGAUAAGUCAGUGGUGAAAGCCCAUCGCUCAACGAUGGAACGGCCAUUGAUACUGUCAGACUUGAAUUAUUAGGAAGUAACUAGAAUAUGUAGUGUAGCGGUGAAAUGCUUAGAGAUUACAUGGAAUACCAAUUGCGAAGGCAGGUUACUACUAAUAUAUUGACGCUGAUGGACGAAAGCGUGGGUAGCGAACAGGAUUAGAUACCCUGGUAGUCCACGCCGUAAACGAUGGAUACUAGCUGUUGGGAGUAAUCUCAGUGGCUAAGCGAAAGUGAUAAGUAUCCCACCUGGGGAGUACGUUCGCAAGAAUGAAACUCAAAGGAAUUGACGGGGGCCCGCACAAGCGGUGGAGCAUGUGGUUUAAUUCGAUGAUACGCGAGGAACCUUACCAAGGCUUAAAUGUAGUUUGACCGGUUUGGAAACAGAUCUUUCGCAAGACAAAUUACAAGGUGCUGCAUGGUUGUCGUCAGCUCGUGCCGUGAGGUGUCAGGUUAAGUCCUAUAACGAGCGCAACCCCUGUUGUUAGUUGCCAGCGAGUCAUGUCGGGAACUCUAACGAGACUGCCAGUGCAAACUGUGAGGAAGGUGGGGAUGACGUCAAAUCAUCACGGCCCUUACGCCUUGGGCUACACACGUGCUACAAUGGACGGUACAGAGAGCAGCCACUG
rnacentral:rRNA from 1 species